UGGGGAAUAUUGCACAAUGGGCGAAAGCCUGAUGCAGCGACGCCGCGUGAGGGAUGACGGCCUUCGGGUUGUAAACCUCUUUCAGCAGGGACGAAGCGCAAGUGACGGUACCUGCAGAAGAAGCACCUGCUAACUACGUGCCAGCAGCCGCGGUAAUACGUAGGGUGCAAGCGUUGUCCGGAAUUACUGGGCGUAAAGAGUUCGUAGGCGGUUUGUCGCGUCGUUUGUGAAAACCAGCAGCUCAACUGCUGGCUUGCAGGCGAUACGGGCAGACUUGAGUACUGCAGGGGAGACUGGAAUUCCUGGUGUAGCGGUGAAAUGCGCAGAUAUCAGGAGGAACACCGGUGGCGAAGGCGGGUCUCUGGGCAGUAACUGACGCUGAGGAACGAAAGCGUGGGUAGCGAACAGG
rnacentral:rRNA from 1 species